GAGGGUGUAAUAAGAUUUGCUAACUCU
rnacentral:tRNA from 1 species